rnacentral:rRNA from 1 species
CGUAGCCGCGGUAAAACAGAGGGUGCGAGCGUUAAUCGGAUUUACUGGGCGUAAAGCGUGCGUAGGCGGCUUCUUAAGUCGGAUGUGAAAUCCAUGAGCUUAACUUAGGAAUUGCAUUCGAUACUGGGAAGCUAGAGUAUGGGAGAGGAUGGUAGAAUUCCAGGUGUAGCGGUGAAAUGCGUAAAGAUCUGGAGGAAUACCGAUGGCGAAGGCAGCCAUCUGGCCUAAUACUGACGCUGAGGUACGAAAGCAUGGGGAGCAAACAGGAUUAGAUACCCCUGUAGUCCCUGUCUCUUAUACA